rnacentral:lncRNA from 1 species
UCUGCUGAGGAAAUUGCUGCCAGCUCUGAAGAAGACUUCUUCAGGUCACCACCUCCUGCCCUCAGGGGUUUGGCACAUCCCUGCAGCCCAAGGACCUGGUGGCUCCUGUAGGAACUUGUGGCAUUUGUGGCACCGAGUCUUUCCUUCUCCAAAGUAGAGACGCUGCUGCCAACACUUCAGGUUCUCACAGUUCUCAAGCAAUUCUGCUUGUGCAUGAUGGCCGCCGGCUGGGACGCAGAGAUACCUGCUGUGCCUGUCACUGUCUAGUUACCAGGCCACGUCUAAGUGCGCACAAGGUGCGUCUUCCACACUUACACUUUUCUGGUGCAGAAAACAAGAGCUAUAACAGCUACGUGGUGUUUGUUUGUUUGUUUGUUUGGUGGAGACAGAGGCCAAAGGAAC